rnacentral:rRNA from 1 species
AGAGCGAAUGGUGGAUGCCUUGACUGGUAAAGGCGAUGAAGGACGUACUAGACUGCGAUAAGCUACGGGGAGCUGUCAAGAAGCUUUGAUCCGUAGAUUUCCGAAUGGGGCAACCCAAUGUAUAGAGAUAUACAUUACCUAAUAUAGGAGCGAACGAGGGGAAUUGAAACAUCUUAGUACCCUCAGGAAAAGAAAUCAAUAGAGAUUGCGUCAGUAGCGGCGAGCGAAAGCGCAAGAGGGCAAACCCAGUGCUUGCACUGGGGGUUGUAGGACUGCAAUGUGCAAGAGGUGAGUUUAGCAGAACAUUCUGGAAAGUAUAGCCAUAGAGGGUGAUAGUCCCGUAUGCGAAAAACAAACCUUAGCUAGCAGUAUCCUGAGUAGGGCGGGACACGAGAAAUCCUGUCUGAAGCUGGGUCGACCACGAUCCAACCCUAAAUACUAAUACCAGAUCGAUAGUGCACAAGUACCGUGAGGGAAAGGUGAAAAGAACUGAGGUGAUCAGAGUGAAAUAGAACCUGAAACCAUUUGCUUACAAUCAUUCAGAGCACUAUGUAGCAAUACAGUGUGAUGGACUGCCUUUUGCAUAAUGAGCCUGCGAGUUGUGGUGUCUGGCAAGGUUAAGCAAACGCGAAGCCGUAGCGAAAGCGAGUCUGAAUAGGGCGCUUAGUCAGAUGCUGCAGACCCGAAACGAAGUGAUCUAUCCAUGAGCAAGUUGAAGCUAGUGUAAGAACUAGUGGAGGACUGAACCCAUAGGCGUUGAAAAGCCCCGGGAUGACUUGUGGAUAGGGGUGAAAGGCCAAUCAAACUUCGUGAUAGCUGGUUCUCUCCGAAAUAUAUUUAGGUAUAGCGUUGUGUCGUAAUAUAAGGGGGUAGAGCACUGAAUGGGCUAGGGCAUACACCAAUGUACCAAACCCUAUCAAACUCCGAAUACCUUAUAUGUAAUCACAGCAGUCAGGCGGCGAGUGAUAAAAUCCGUCGUCAAGAGGGAAACAACCCAGACUACCAGCUAAGGUCCCUAAAUCUUACUUAAGUGGAAAACGAUGUGAAGUUACUUAAACAACCAGGAGGUUGGCUUAGAAGCAGCCAUCCUUUAAAGAAAGCGUAAUAGCUCACUGGUCUAGUGAUUUUGCGCGGAAAAUAUAACGGGGCUAAAGUAAGUACCGAAGCUGUAGACUUGACUUUGUCAAGUGGUAGGAGAGCGUUCUAUUUGCGUCGAAGGUAUACCGGUAAGGAGUGCUGGAGCGAAUAGAAGUGAGCAUGCAGGCAUGAGUAGCGAUAAUUAAUGUGAGAAUCAUUAACGCCGUAAACCCAAGGUUUCCUACGCGAUGCUCGUCAUCGUAGGGUUAGUCGGGUCCUAAGUCGAGUCCGAAAGGGGUAGACGAUGGCAAAUUGGUUAAUAUUCCAAUACCAACAUUAGUGUGCGAUGGAAGGACGCUUAGGGCUAAGGGGGCUAGCGGAUGGAAGUGCUAGUCUAAGGUCGUAGGUGCUUAUACAGGCAAAUCCGUAUAAGAAUACACCGAGAACUGAAAGGCUUUUUGAAGUCUUCGGAUGGAUAGAAGAACCCCUGAUGCCGUCGAGCCAAGAAAAGUUUCUAAGUUUAGCUAAUGUUGCCCGUACCGUAAACCGACACAGGUGGGUGGGAUGAGUAUUCUAAGGCGCGUGGAAGAACUCUCUUUAAGGAACUCUGCAAAAUAGCACCGUAUCUUCGGUAUAAGGUGUGGUUCGCUUCGUAUUAGGAUUUACUCCGAAAGCGAAGAAACUUACAACAAAGAGUCCCUCCCGACUGUUUACCAAAAACACAGCACUCUGCUAACUCGUAAGAGGAUGUAUAGGGUGUGACGCCUGCCCGGUGCUCGAAGGUUAAUUGAUGGGGUUAGCAUUAGCGAAGCUCUUGAUCGAAGCCCGAGUAAACGGCGGCCGUAACUAUAACGGUCCUAAGGUAGCGAAAUUCCUUGUCGGUUAAAUACCGACCUGCAUGAAUGGCGUAACGAGAUGGGAGCUGUCUCAAAGAGGGAUCCAGUGAAAUUGUAGUGGAGGUGAAAAUUCCUCCUACCCGCGGCAAGACGGAAAGACCCCGUGGACCUUUACUACAGCUUGACACUGCUAUUUGGAUAAGAAUGUGCAGGAUAGGUGGGAGGCUUUGAGUAUAUGACGCCAGUUGUAUAUGAGCCAUUGUUGAGAUACCACUCUUUCUUAUUUGGGUAGCUAACCAGCUUGAGUUAUCCUCAAGUGGGACAAUGUCUGGUGGGUAGUUUGACUGGGGCGGUCGCCUCCCAAAUAAUAACGGAGGCUUACAAAGGUUGGCUCAGAACGGUUGGAAAUCGUUCGUAGAGUAUAAAGGUAUAAGCCAGCUUAACUGCAAGACAUACAAGUCAAGCAGAGACGAAAGUCGGUCUUAGUGAUCCGGUGGUUCUGUGUGGAAGGGCCAUCGCUCAAAGGAUAAAAGGUACCCCGGGGAUAACAGGCUGAUCUCCCCCAAGAGCUCACAUCGACGGGGAGGUUUGGCACCUCGAUGUCGGCUCAUCGCAUCCUGGGGCUGGAGCAGGUCCCAAGGGUAUGGCUGUUCGCCAUUUAAAGCGGUACGCGAGCUGGGUUCAGAACGUCGUGAGACAGUUCGGUCCCUAUCUGCCGUGGGCGUAAGAAGAUUGAAGAGAUUUGACCCUAGUACGAGAGGACCGGGUUGAACAAACCACUGGUGUAGCUGUUGUUCUGCCAAGAGCAUCGCAGCGUAGCUAAGUUUGGAAAGGAUAAACGCUGAAAGCAUCUAAGCGUGAAGCCAACUCUAAGAUGAAUCUUCUCUAAGCUCUCUAGAAGACUACUAGUUUGAUAGGCUGGGUGUGUAAUGGAUGAAAGUCCUUUAGCUGACCAGUACUAAUAGAGCGUUUGGCUUAUCU